UUGUUAUCAUUUGCAAACAAAACCUGUCAGAAGACAAACCUGCUGUUUACAAUGGAUGUUUUUGUUGUUCCCCGGUAGGGUUCUUUAGGGAAUUUCCUUCAUUUGCUUUUUUAACUAAUUCUCUGUCUUUGAGAGGAAGGCGGGGCUUGGGAGCGGGAAGAAGCACAGACUUCCCGUUACGGCCUCCGAAUUGCAGCCUGGAGGACGCGGACCGACUCGCCCUGAGAGGCUUUGCUGGAACACUCCCGGCUCCGCUGUGCUCCUCUGUGGCUGCCGUGCUCCCACCAGCUCCCGCCUGUAAAGAAAGGUGGCAGGCAGCACCCAGGCUGUCCUCCCCCGUCUCUGCCCCAGUAAGUCACGAAUUAGAGGGACUAGGGAGACAGCCCAUCAUCUUCCCAAGAACUUCCAUUGUGCUUCUUCAUCAUUUGACACUCUCAGUUCGCAGCUUACAUGUUUCUUGAAAUCCAUGUUGUUAAGCAUUUUCAGGGUGGUCAGUUCUUUUGUCUUUGUUUCGGUCUUUAGUUUUGCUGCUAGGACGUGAGGACAACUUGGAUGGCUUUGUAGGAGUACAUAUGAUUUGCUAACAGGGGCCGUCUAUAGAAGACUUGAUUGGCGUAUCUUUUUAUACCCAAACUGACUCCAACUGGUUUUGUUACCAAACUAAAGUGGGUUCCCUUCUUGGUGAGUUGAAAUCAAAGCCUUCGCCAGAGGUAGUUGUCACACAAAGUAAAAUUUAUUUGCUGCAAAUAAAGAGACCACAGGAAUCACUCCCAAAGCUGUGGCCCCCGGGCAAGGGAAAAUAGGUACCUUUUAUUUCGGAGGGGAAGGAAUAUUCAAAAGGGAGGUUUCAGCAUCACAUGUGGAGGUGGGUAUUUGCUCAUGCAGGGACAGUUUGAAAACAUGCCUCCAACUACAUCACAUCUUACGAUAAUAAAGCCUAAGCUCCUCCUGGGGCGGAGAUUGUAACAUUAAAAUGAAGCAAAGGUAACCCUUGGACACUUCUCAUCCUAUCUGCACAGGCGGCACUCCUGCGGUGGGCUUUGGACCGAUUCAGGGCAGUUGCUGAUUGCAUCUCUUAACUAAAAAACACCUUUGAGAAAGGGUUAAGUGCUUCUUUGAGUCACUUGGGGCAGUUCGUCAGUGACAGUUUCUCAAGAACCCUGUGGUUCCACAGUCCUGGGUAAGGAGGCGGCCCAGUGCAGGGGACACUCAUGAACACCCUCCUCUGCACCCCCUGAGCAGCAAGAACACCGCUUUUAACUUUCUCAUACUGAGCUUUUAUGAGAAGAAAAAAAACAACUUCUGUUUAAAAAAAAAUAGUUUGGAAAACCACUGUUCUAAAAUGAAGUCAAGGAGACAGUCAGACUUGGUCCCUGGCAACAGUCAUUCGGCCUCAGAUCUGCUCUCCCUGUUUGCCAAAAAUAGAAUGAUCUAAAUUGCUAACAAUCAAUGCCACCAAUUUUUUCUCCUUCCCUGGAAAGUUCGCCAACACUUUUAGAAAGUCUACAUAUAUUUAUGAGCCAGAAACCAAGAGUGGCAAGAAGGGGCAAUGAUUUGUCAAUAAUUACGAUAAUGAUUUGCCAGCCUGCCCUCCUCUCCCUCAUUAACUCCACCAACCACCAUUUAGGGCCAAUUAGCUCCGAGCUGGGUCAGCACACCUCUGACCUCUAGGAGCAGGCCAGCUGUGGGGGAUCCAUAAUUCCUAACUCCCAAGGGAGGAAACUCACCCAGGUUCUUCUGGUAGGAUUCAGUAAAGUCAACUCAAGCAAAGAGAGAUCCAAUGGACACCAUCAUGUUUUCACCCUGGAGCAGAGGCAGGGAUUCAUCAGGAGAGCGCUCCAUUGCUUUUAACCUCAGUUGGCAUUUCAAAUGUUGGAAUCCUCUGGAAAUGCUGAUUCACAUGGAAAAACAAACGGGGCUCAUUCUUUUGUGACGAUUCUUAUUUGUGAGGAUCCUAGGACCUCCUGUGCUGUUAACGUGUGUUCAGAGGCUGAGCAAAGCUCUCCAUUUUCAUCCCAGUGUAAUAGCUGGAUCUUAAGUUAGCAUCAGGGAAGCAGCCUUAUGGAAAAGAAGGAAUUUUGUGAGUAUAUAUGACCCUGACUCACUCGUCUCUGUGAAUACAUUCUAGCCCGUAGCCUAGAUGCUUAAGCACCUCUCACUUUUACAAAAUACGUGAUCUGCUAGUUCUAUGACUCUUGCUUAUGUA
rnacentral:lncRNA from 1 species